rnacentral:rRNA from 1 species
CCUACGGGUGGCUGCAGUGAGGAAUAUUGGUCAAUGGACGCAAGUCUGAACCAGCCAUGCCGCGUGCAGGAUGAAGGCUCUAUGAGUUGUAAACUGCUUUUGUACGGGGGUAAACCCCGAUACGUGUCUCGGGUUGAAAGUAUCGUACGAAUAAGCAUCGGCUAACUCCGUGCCAGCAGCCGCGGUAAUACGGAGGAUCCGAGCGUUAUCCGGAUUUAUUGGGUUUAAAGGGUGCGUAGGCGGUUUGAUAAGUUAGAGGUGAAAUGGCGGGGCUCAACCCCGGAACUGCCUUUAAUACUGUUGGACUAGAGUAGAGGUGAGGUAGGCGGAAUGUAUGGUGUAGCGGUGAAAUGCUUAGAGAUCACACAGAACACCGAUUGCGAAGGCAGCAUACCAAAC